CCGCCAGAGAACUACAAGUGAAAAACUUCAAACUCAAUGGACUUGGCGGUGUCCCACAUUCGACCUAGAGGAGUCUGUCCNAUANUCGAUACUCCCCGNUCUACCUCACCAGCACUAGCACCAGCUUCAGCCUAUAUACCGCCGUCGACAGCUUACCCCCUGAGGGUUUAACAGUAAGCACAAUAGUCCUACCACUAACACGUCAGGUCAAGGUGUAGCUAAUGUGCUGGCAGAGAUUGGCUACAUUUUUUAUUUUAAAAAACACGAAAUGCUAUAUGAAAAACAGCAUGAAGGCGAAUUUAGUAGUAAAAC
rnacentral:rRNA from 1 species